CGGCUGGUGAAAAUUUUCUUAAGUGGGGCUGUGGCACACUGGCACAGCAAACAAUUUCAGCAAGCGCUGCAAUAUGAUUUAUUGAAAUGCAGACACAGUUUAAGAACAUCUGGUCACAUGUUUAUUCGUUAAAGCAUCUCUGAACAGUUAAUUUACAAGUCGCAGUUAAAUUCUGGAUACUUCCAUGACUCUGAGGAUAACCAUAUAGAAGAAAAUCAAUGUGGUGAAAAAACCUGCAUUUACUUAUUUGUACGGGAAUUUUGCUCUCCUCUUCUUCUGAUUGACAAAUUUCUCAAUGACUUUCUUAUUGAAGUCAGGAAUGUCUCUGACAGAGUUUUCGUGUCCGGAACUAAUUACACCUGAGUCCGCCAUUGUCACAUAACAUUCAUUGAAAAUCGUGCCACUACUGGCCAGGCCCUCAUUUGAGCAGUUUGGGGGCGACAAAAAAAUCGCCCAUUGCAGAUAAGAAUUGAGGAGGCUGAUUGGCUAAAUUUUGUCACAUCUUGAAUAUAUUUAUAUAUUGAAUAGGCAUUUGACUAAAUUCUACAAAGACCCGCCUCCUUUGGGCGAUUUCUCGAUUGCCCCUCAGCUAAAAUUGAGUGGUGCACACAGAGAGGACAUAUGGGAGGGCGGCGCCCUAGCGCCCUCUAUUGGCCAGCCGCCACUGCUAGUGGUAUCUCAGACAGUGUGGCGCAGUGCGAGAUGUGAUGAGGUCACUGAGAUACAAAAGACAUAAAAAAUGACUGUAGAGAACAACAAACCAAGGAGGAAGCCACAGAUAAAUAGAUUGGAUCCACAUGACCACCGGUCACAAUGACUGAAGAUGACUGUUCUAAUGAUGGAGGAGUAGCUAAAAGAGUGACUGUUCCAAAGAUAAGCCAAAUCAACAAUCUAAUUAACAAACAUCAUGAAAAUAAAACACAAACAUCAAUGAA